GUGUCAGCAGCCGCGGUAAUACGUAGGGCGCAAGCGUUGUCCGGAAUUAUUGGGCGUAAAGAGCUCGUAGGCGGUCUGUCGCGUCUGCCGUGAAAACCCGAGGCUUAACCUCGGGCCUGCGGUGGAUACGGGCAGACUAGAGGUAGGUAGGGGAGAAUGGAAUUCCCGGUGUAGCGGUGAAAUGCGCAGAUAUCGGGAGGAACACCGGUGGCGAAGGCGGUUCUCUGGGCCUUACCUGACGCUGAGGAGCGAAAGCAUGGGGAGCGAACAGGAUUAGAAACCCGCGUAGUCC
rnacentral:rRNA from 1 species